GAUGAACGCUAGCGGCAGGCUUAAUACAUGCAAGUCGAGGGGCAUCAAGGUACACGAAAGUGUAUUGUUGGCGACCGGCGGACGGGUGAGUAAUAGGUAGGUAACCUACCUCAUACUGAGGCAUAGGCUGGGAGAAAUUCCAGGUAAUUCCUCAUGAGGUUAUAUGACACAUGUGAUAUAAUCAAAGGUAUCGCAAGGUACUGGUAUGAGAUGGGCUUACUGACCAUUAGCUAGUUGGUGAGAUAAGAGCUCACCAAGGCGAAGAUGGUUAGGGGUUUGAGAGAGAGAUCCCCCACAUUGGAACUGAGAUACGGUCCAGACUCCUACGGGAGGCAGCAGUAGGGAAUAUUGGGCAAUGGGCGGAAGCCUGACCCAGCCAUGCCGCGUGAAGGAAGACGGCCUUAUGGGUUGUAAACUUCUUUACUAUGCGACUAACUAGAUUUACGAGAUAAUUCUAUAGAAUGUAGCAUAGCAAAAAGCACCGGA
rnacentral:rRNA from 1 species